AGUCGGACGUUCGAGUCGUCCCAGGCCCACCACUGAUCCAGAAGGUUGGGCGUCGAUCUGAAGCUCUUGUUGUGCUGAGCGUGCUCUUAGGGGCCAUAGCUCAGUUGGGAGAGCGCGUGCUUUGCAAGCAUGAGGUCGUCGGUUCGAUCCCGUCUGGCUCCACCAUUUCCUGCAUUCCGAUGAGGGAUGCGGUCGAGAUGGUCGGUGGUGAAGCGCUUCAAGCGUGAGAGAAGAACAUCCGGUUCUUUUCUCUUCUGUCCGCACAAUCUGUUUCGCUGAUCCUCAGCAAGCCCCCAUGUGGGCGAGGAUGAGCGCUGCUGUCUGACAUUGUGAAUCUGGGCGUUUUCGAUUUGCUGGCCGCAAGGCUGGCGGGUCGUGACAAUCAAGCUUUCGGGCUUGAGAGGACACGAUCAUCGGGUGCUGACCGCACCGGUGUCGAAAAUGUCGAAGCUGGUCUUUAGCGUCCAGCCCUCUCGCUGAUCCGCCUGGUGCGGAUUGAUGAGAACCUCAGCCGAGGAGUGGGCAUGGACGAUGAGAACGAUCAAGUGUCUUAAGGGCAUUCGGUGGAUGCCUUGGCGCUAAGAGGCGAAGAAGGACGUGGUACGCUGCGAUAUGCUUCGGGGAGCU
rnacentral:rRNA from 1 species